AGUCUGGUGCCAGCAGCCGCGGUAAUUCCAGCUCCAAUAGCGUAUAUUAAACUUGUUGAGUUAAAAAGCUCGUAGUUGAAUUUCUGCUGCAUCGUGGUUCUUCGCUAUGUCGAGUGGGCCUCGUUGUGGCUUAGUUGGGGCAUGUUUUCAUGACUCGACGUUUACUUUGAGAAAAUUAGAGUGCUUCAAGCAGGCUUUUGCCUUGAAUACUUUAGCAUGGAAUAAUGGAGUAGGACUUUGGUUCUAUUUUGUUGGUUUUAGGAGCCGGAGUAAUGGUUAAUAGGAACAGUUGGGGGCAUUCGUAUUUGACUGUCAGAGGUGAAAUUCUUAGAUUUGUCAAAGACGAACUACUGCGAAAGCAUUUGCCAAGGAUGUUUUCAUUAAUCAAGAACGAAAGUUAGGGGAUCGAAGACGAUCAGAUACCGUCGU
rnacentral:rRNA from 1 species